GUGGGGAAUAUUGGACAAUGGGCGAAAGCCUGAUCCAGCCAUGCCGCGUGUGUGAAGAAGGUCUUCGGAUUGUAAAGCACUUUAAGUUGGGAGGAAGGGCAGUAAGUUAAUACCUUGCUGUUUUGACGUUACCGACAGAAUAAGCACCGGCUAACUUCGUGCCAGCAGCCGCGGUAAUACGAAGGGUGCAAGCGUUAAUCGGAAUUACUGGGCGUAAAGCGCGCGUAGGUGGUUUUGUAAGUUGGAGGUGAAAUCCCCGGGCUCAACCUGGGAACUGCCUCCAAAACUGAAUGACUAGAGUACGGUAGAGGGUAGUGGAAUUUCCUGUGUAGCGGUGAAAUGCGUAGAUAUAGGAAGGAACACCAGUGGCGAAGGCGACCACCUGGACUGAUACUGACACUGAGGUGCGAAAGCGUGGGGAGCAAACAGGAUUAGAAACCCCUGUAGUCC
rnacentral:rRNA from 1 species